rnacentral:lncRNA from 1 species
CGAAUAUUAGAAUCCAAGCUGUCAAGGUUGCAAGUUUUCUGUAAAGGCAUAAGGAAGGAACGAAUAUAAUGUGCCACAUGAUGAAACAGGCAUAGGAAUCCCAAUGGGCAUAGGAAUUUUAGUCUCGGAAAGAGGAAGAUCGUUCAUAUUAAGACUCGAGUAAAGUUGUCACAGCAUAAAAUUUAUGUAAAGAUAUCAUCCUUCGUCAGAAAGAUAUAAGUGUACCAUGUGAUGAAACAGCAUUGAAGAUUCAUCGUAACAUAUUCAUAAGGGAACUGGCCAUCAAGAGAAGGCUCAAGGUAAGUAGACAACAGCUAGAACGUAUCCAAGCAGGAGAAAAAAUACCACAAGCAAGAAGAGUUUUGACCUUCCGUCAGGACGUCCGGCAGAUUGGUCCGAGGGGAGCAGCGAAGUCCAGACCACCGCAGCCGGCGAUCACUCAAAACUGCAAAACACCAGACAUAUUUCGAAAUUGAGCAAGUGAUGAAUUAUGAAGCCAAAUAUCAGACACAGGAAACCAGUGACCGGACACGACAGAAGCGUGAAGAACUUGUUGCGUACGGGCGUGCGAGAUGGAAGCGACUUGUGGGCGAAUGUGGAAGAGAACCAGCUCCGGGGAGCGGCCAAGGCGUCGGGAUCCCAGUCGCCGCGAGAACUUCAGCCGGACUCCCCCGCCGUGGUGCUGGUGAUGGACGACAGCAGACGCCCACCCCAUCGCACAGGACGAAGCUGAAGGAGAGAGAGAGAAACACAGAGCGACACAGAGAGAGAGAGAGAGAGAGAGAGAGAGAGAGAGNNNNN